rnacentral:rRNA from 1 species
CAGCCGCCACGGGAACACGAAGGGUGCAAGCGUUAAUCGGAAUUACUGGGCGUAAAGCGUGCGUAGGCGGUUUGUUAAGUCUGUUGUGAAAUCCCCGGGCUCAACCUGGGAAUGGCAAUGGAUACUGGCAAGCUAGAGUGUGUCAGAGGAUGGUGGAAUUCCCGGUGUAGCGGUGAAAUGCGUAGAGAUCGGGAGGAACAUCAGUGGCGAAGGCGGCCAUCUGGGACAACACUGACGCUGAGGCACGAAAGCGUUGGGAGCAAACAGGAUUAGAGACCCCGGUAGUCCCUGUCUCUUAUAC